ensembl:lncRNA
GAUAGAGACCAUUUGGCCUACAAAGCCUAAACUAUUUACCAUUUGUCCCUUUACAGAAAAGGUGUGCCAGUCUCCACGAGCAGUAGAUUACAAAGCUCAGCACAACCUUCUCAAAGGGUGGGUGCAUCCGUACGUAUUGGGAUAUAAGGCUCUGAGAAAUUACUGGGAGCUUUUGACCUGGAUUUUGAGGCCCCCACCCUGCCCAGCUUGGCGCCGCUCUCGGAGCUAGCAUCCUGGAGAGAUUUCAUCUCUGUUUCUGCAGAGACAGAAGGUGAAGACAGGCAGGUGAAUGUCUGCAGCCGUCUCACCGACACAUUAAUCAGCUUCCCUGCUAACCUAGCAGAAGAUCGCUUUACUCAGACAACUUCUCUCGCAGCUCCUGUGGGGGGCAUUUGUAGAGAAGAGGUGAGGCACAGGACCAGGAAUGAAAGUCUUCUGCUACUUCUUUAAACUUUUUAUUUUGAAAUGAUGAUCGACCUACUAGAAGUUGCAAAAAGAAUGCAGAAAAUCCUCAUGUACUAUUCACCCAGCUCCCC